rnacentral:misc_RNA from 1 species
GUGUGUGUGUGUGUGUGUGUAUUAGAAACAAUCCUUUUGUACAAAUCCCACAAUUACAGAUGAAAACGGCAAAGCAGCGUGACUCUAGAGGGUGAAUAAAGGAGAGGUUAGAUAUCAUAGGUAGAUACGUAAAUUUGUCUGUCGGUUUUCAUUUGAUGUAGCAUUGCACUCGGAAAAAAUCUUGUGCAUAUUUCUCUAAUAUUUUACCUAGUUUGCAUGUGCAUGUCUUCUGGCAAGCAAAUCAAUUGGGUGGCUAUUGUCAUUAAUUGCUCAAAUGAUAAGGUAAUGAUCUU